rnacentral:snoRNA from 1 species
CAAAAAUGAAGAGCUCUUCACUCUCCCUGGGCUCUGUCCUAGUGGCCUAUGGGAGCAUAGGGCUUGGCCCAGUGAUGUACAGUCCCUUUCCACAACAUUGGAGAUGAAGCUGGGCUUCGAGUUCAUGCCUGCAUAUUCCUACAGCUUCUCAGAGUCCUGUGGACAGUGACUGAAGAGACAAACCAUGCAGGAAACAUAA